rnacentral:rRNA from 1 species
AUUGAACGCUGGCGGCAUGCUUUACACAUGCAAGUCGAACGGCAGCGCGGGCUUCGGCCUGGCGGCGAGUGGCGAACGGGUGAGUAAUGCAUCGGAACGUGCCCAGUAGUGGGGGAUAGCCCGGCGAAAGCCGGAUUAAUACCGCAUACGACCUGAGGGUGAAAGCGGGGGACCGAAAGGCCUCGCGCUAUUGGAGCGGCCGAUGUCGGAUUAGCGAGUUGGUGGGGUAAAGGCUUACCAAGGCGACGAUCCGUAGCUGGUCUGAGAGGACGACCAGCCACACUGGGACUGAGACACGGCCCAGACUCCUACGGGAGGCAGCAGUGGGGAAGUUUGGACAAUGGGGGCAACCCUGAUCCAGCCAUGCCGCGUGCGGGAAGAAGGCCUGCGGGUUGUAAACCGCUUUUGUUCGGGAAGAAAUCCUCUGGGCUAAUACCCCGGGGGGAUGACGGUACCGGAAGAAUAAGCACCGGCUAACUACGU